GACGAACGCUGGCGGCGUGCUUAACACAUGCAAGUCGAACGGUAAGGCCCUUCGGGGUACACGAGUGGCGAACGGGUGAGUAACACGUGGGUGAUCUGCCCUGCACUUCGGGAUAAGCCUGGGAAACUGGGUCUAAUACCGGAUAGGACCACUGCCUGCAUGGGUGGUGGUGGAAAGCUUUUGCGGUGUGGGAUGGGCCCGCGGCCUAUCGGCUUGUUGGUGGGGUGAUGGCCUACCAAGGCGACGACGGGUAGCCGGCCUGAGAGGGUGACCGGCCACACUGGGAGUGAGAUACGGCCCAGACUCCUACGGGAGGCAGCAGUGGGGAAUAUUGCACAAUGGGCGCAAGCCUGAUUCAGCGACGCCGCGUGAGGGAUGACGGCCUUCGGGUUGUAAACCUCUUUCAGCACCGACGAAGCGCAAGUGACGGUAGGUGCAGAAGAAGGACCGGCCAACUACGUGCCAGCCGCCGCAGUAA
rnacentral:rRNA from 1 species